GUCCUACGGGAGGCAGCAGUGAGGAAUAUUGGUCAAUGGUCGGGAGACUGAACCAGCCAAGCCGCGUGAGGGAUGAAGGUACAGAGUAUCGUAAACCUCUUUUGUCAGGGAGCAAAGGCGGGGACGUGUCCCCGGAUGAGUGUACCUGAAGAAAAAGCAUCGGCUAACUCCGUGCCAGCAGCCGCGGUAAUACGGAGGAUGCGAGCGUUAUCCGGAUUUAUUGGGUUUAAAGGGUGCGUAGGCGGACUGUCAAGUCAGCGGUAAAAUACGGGGGCUCAACCUCCGCCCGCCGUUGAAACUGACGG
rnacentral:rRNA from 1 species